CUAGAUGGUGCUCACAUAAUGCUACAGGGUGGUGGAAGCUGUCUGAUGCAAGAGGCUGGUUUUGUGAUGGCCAGUCCAAAGGUACCUCACAUCUUGUUGUUGAUUGCAUUGAAUAGAUGAAGAGAGAGUGUAAUCAAGUAGAAAAUAAUUUAACAUGUCUAGCCACAAUACAGGAGAUUUGUGUUCUGCUAGGCAAGCACUUGCCUUCAUUUCGCAAAGCAUCCAAAUGAUUGUAACCAGCCCCAGCUUAAGGUAGCAAUUAAGAUGCGGCAAUUCUCUUGCGCGGGGGUAAGCUAUAGUCCUAAGCGGCAUCUCGUUCAUAUACCUAACUAACUAAUAUGUUGCUGCAAUCGGUCUUGAAAAUCCUAGGAGAAGACCUCGAUCCCUAAAUGAAAGUAAUUACUGAAUGAAUUAAGCCUGAAGCAAUAAGUUUAAAAUAUCAUCCCAAGUUAGAAGUUACUACCUGAUGGCUCAAUGCAUACUUUCCGCACAAAAAAAGAGGCAGCCGAUUUUUUUUCUUGAAAGCAGUUUGUAAUCAAUUUCUCUAGGACCAUUUGGAUCAACUGAAUUAUAGAUUAUUAAAAGGUAGC
rnacentral:lncRNA from 1 species